rnacentral:rRNA from 1 species
AGAGUUUGAUCCUGGCUCAGAACGAACGCUGGCGGCAGGCUUAACACAUGCAAGUUGAGCGGGAUUGGUUGGUAGCUUGCUACGAACCAUGAGAGCAGCGCACUGGUGAGUAACACGUGGGAACAUACCUUUUGGUGGGGGGACAACAGUUGGAAACGACUGCUAAUACCGCAUAAGCCCUAAGGGGGAAAGAUUAAUUGCCGAAAGAUUGGCCCGCGGAAGAUUAGGUAGUAGGUGGGGUAACGGCCUACCUAGCCGACGAUCUAUAGCUGGUCUGAGAGGACGAUCAGCCACAUUGGAACUGAGACACGGUCCAGACUCCUACGGGAGGCAGCAGUGAGGAAUAUUGGGCAAUGGAGGCAACUCUGACCCAGCCAUGCCGCGUGAGUGAAGAAGGUUUUCGGAUUGUAAAGCUCUUUCAGACGGGAAGAUGAUGACGGUACCGUCAGAAGAAGCACCGGCUAACUUCGUGCC